rnacentral:rRNA from 1 species
AUUGAACGCUGGCGGCAGGCUUAACACAUGCAAGUCGAGCGGAGAUGAGGUGCUUGCACCUUAUCUUAGCGGCGGACGGGUGAGUAAUGCUUAGGAAUCUGCCUAUUAGUGGGGGACAACAUUCCGAAAGGAAUGCUAAUACCGCAUACGACCUACGGGAGAAAGCAGGGGAUCUUCGGACCUUGCGCUAAUAGAUGAGCCUAAGUCGGAUUAGCUAGUUGGUGGGGUAAAGGCCUACCAAGGCGACGAUCUGUAGCGGGUCUGAGAGGAUGAACCGCCACACGGGGACUGGGACACGGCCCAGACGGCUACGGGAGGGAGCAGUGGGGAAUAUUGGACAAUGGGGGGAACCCUGAUCCAGCCAUGCCACGUGUGUGAAGAAGGCCUUAUGGUUGUAAAGCACUUUAAGCGAGGAGGAGGCUACUGAGACUAAUACUCUUGGAUAGUGGACGUUACUCGCAGAAUAAGCACCGGCUAACUCUGUGCCAGCCGCCGCAGUAAAAC